AUCUCGCUCUUUCUACAACAUAAAGCUCAGUUGCUAUUUUCUCUGAUUCCUUCUUUCCUCCCUCCGUCUCUCACACUCUGUUUGUUUUUUUCCUUUGCUUUCUCUGCUUUUCCGGGAAAGUUGAAUCAUUUUCUCGCUGUUCUGUUACAAAAUCGUGUCUUUGGUUGCCAAACUACAAAAACCCAGAAAUCUCUCGCGCAGAAAACUUGGUUUUCAGCUCUUUUUGUUCUGGUUUUCUAAAAUUUUUCUGUCAUUUUCUCGGGAAAAUUCGAUUGAAAGGCAGGUUUUUUUCUUCUGGGUUUUUUAUAAUUUUGAUUUGUGGGAUUGAUUUAGCUUCAAGGUUUAACGUUGAAUUGUCGUGACUGUGAUCAAGGGACUUGAGUUUUCUUUAAGGUUGGUGAAGAGAGAAAAACGAUUACAAAAACCCGAAAAAACAGGGAGAGAAUUCCGUGUCCGGAGGAUUGACCGGAAUUUGAUUCUCCGGCCAACGGAAAUCCGUUGGGAAUUGAUAGCAUUGCCAGCGAAGACUCUUAUCUGUGAAGAGAAAAAACAGAGAAGCGAAGACUCGCCCGUGAAUUGUUGUGUCCAAACGUUAAAAAAUAGAACUCUUUCGUAGGCCCAUUUCCCAUUUUUCUCUCACUUGUCAAGGGAAAUCUAAUCCCGACAUUCAGUCUCUCUUCUCUUUCCCAUUUCUCUCGCUUUCUCUCUCCUCUCCUCUCCUUUCUCUCUUUCUCUCUCUCUGUUUUUUUCUCUUUUAGAAGGCUCGUUCUGUUUUCCUGGUUGGGGUGAGAGAAACAUUUUUUUCUCUCUCUGAUUCAGGGUGAGCGAAAAACUCAAAUUUUCUCUCUCCCCCCUCUCUCUCUCUCUAGAAUUGCAGAGGAAAGAAAAAGAAAUGAUUUUGGACAAAGGGUCAAUGCAAUCAAACCUUGACUGCUUCCUCCAUUGUACAACCCCAGUGCUCCGACCCCAAUUCCUACCCAAGUCUGAGAUGAGGAACCUCAAUCGGCUAUGGCAUCCAUGGGAGAGAGAAAAGGUUGAGUAUUUCACAUUGAGUGAUCUCUGGAAUUGCUAUGAUGAAUGGAGUGCUUAUGGCGCCGGAGUUCCGAUCGCCAUGGACAGGGCGAGACCCUUGUGCAGUACUAUGUGCCUUACCUCUCUGCUAUCCAAAUUUUCACUAGCAAUUCGUCUGUGAAUAGCUUCAGGGAAGAGGCCGAAUCAGGCGACUGCGAGACUAGGGAUUCGUUUAGCGAUUCGUGCAGCUUUGAGAGUGAAAGUGAUAAGUGGAGAUGGGAUGGAUGCUCUUCGGAAGAUGGCGGGUUCGAGCAAGACAAUCUCUGGCAUGUGAAUGAUAGAUUAGGGUGCCUAUAUUUUGAGUAUUUUGAGAGAUCAACUCCCUAUGGAAGAGUUCCUCUCAUGGAUAAGAUCAAUUCGUUAGCUCAAAGAUACCCUGGCUUGAUGUCAUUAAGGAGCGUUGAUCUCUCACCAGCUAGUUGGAUGGCUGUUGCUUGGUAUCCAAUUUAUCACAUUCCAAUGGGAAGGACUAUAAAGGAUCUGUCCACAUCCUUCCUCACUUACCACACCCUUUCAUCUUCUUUUCAAGACAUGGACCUUGAGGAUGAUAUUGAGAACAACGAGCAACAGAAGCGUAAGAAAGGGGGAGGCAUCUCUCUCCCUCCAUUUGGUUUGGCCACUUACAAGAUGCAAGGAAAUGUGUGGGUAUCAGGCAAUUGUGGAAAGGACCGAGAGAGGCUCAUGUCGCUAUUGAGCGUGGCGGAUUCUUGGCUAAAGCAGCUUAGGGUCCAGCACCAUGACUUCAACUAUUUCACAGCUAUUCGGCGUGGCCAGUGCCACUACCUUUAAGUUUUAAAAGAACUCCUCCACUUGAAAGUGAAAGUGAUGGACCGCUGAACUCCUCUUUUCGGAUAAUCUGGUUUUCGUUGACCUUUUGUUUUGGAGUUUAAUUAGCCGAUGAGGCUGAUUAAGGAUUGUGGUUAUUUGCUAGGGUGUUUUAGUGUUGAGCUCAUGUUUGAGGUCAGCAGAUGAGGGUAUGUGAUGAAUGACUUUGACUCCUUUUGUUGGGACUUUGUAUGUAGUAGAGACGGGUGAGGUUAGAGAGAGGCUCUUUGAAUCAUGAGUUUGUAGUGGUUUGUGUAAAUUAUUAUAUGUUCUCUUGACCGUCUAUGGAACUUUGGGGAGACGAGGAAAUUGCCCUA